UCCUGUGGUCUAGUGGUCAAGGCGUUUGCCCGGAAAGCAAAAGCCCCGGGUUCGAUUCCCGGCAAGGGAA
rnacentral:tRNA from 1 species